GGCUGGCCGACGCCGGCAGCCUGGAGGAGGCGGCGGUGGAAGACGCCAUCGUCUCUGAUGACAGAGUAAGUUCAGAGACGUGAUCCUUCCUCAGAGUUGAACCUUUGAGUCAUUAAUGUCUGAUUCUUCCAGUUCAGUCUGAUCCAUGAAUUCUUUGCUGCAAACGGAUCCAAGAAGCUGAUUUUCUUCUAUCAGGAUGUCAAACAGAGUCUGUCCUCCCGUCAGUCUUCCUUUGUGGACGCAUCAAACUCAGCUGUGGCUCAGAGGAAACUCUUCCUCACUACGGGGAACUCUGAGUAGAUCAAAGCAGCUCGUGCUCCUUCUUCUUCCAAUUUAGAAGAAGAAGAAGAAGGCGAAGGCUUCAGCGAAGUGGCGUUCAUGGUCUCAGUGAACAGUCACGGUCACAC
ensembl:lncRNA